rnacentral:pre_miRNA from 1 species
ACAACAUUCGGACCGUCGGUCUACCGAGCAAAUAUCACCCGCUCGGUGGAAAAUCUCUCUUUGUGGU